AUUGAACGCUGGCGGCAUGCCUUACACAUGCAAGUCGAACGGCAGCACGGAGCUUGCUCUGGUGGCGAGUGGCGAACGGGUGAGUAAUAUAUCGGAACGUACCCUGGAGUGGGGGAUAACGUAGCGAAAGUUACGCUAAUACCGCAUACGAUCUAAGGAUGAAAGUGGGGGAUCGCAAGACCUCAUGCUCGUGGAGCGGCCGAUAUCUGAUUAGCUAGUUGGUAGGGUAAAAGCCUACCAAGGCGUCGAUCAGUAGCUGGUCUGAGAGGACGACCAGCCACACUGGAACUGAGACACGGUCCAGACUCCUACGGGAGGCAGCAGUGGGGAAUUUUGGACAAUGGGCGCAAGCCUGAUCCAGCAAUGCCGCGUGAGUGAAGAAGGCCUUCGGGUUGUAAAGCUCUUUUGUCAGGGAAGAAACGGUGAGAGCUAAUAUCCCUUGCUAAUGACGGUACCUGAAGAAUAAGCACCGGCUAACUACGUGCCAGCAGCCGCGGUAAUACGUAGGGUGCAAGCGUUAAUCGGAAUUACUGGGCGUAAAGCGUGCGCAGGCGGUUUUGUAAGUCUGAUGUGAAAUCCCCGGGCUCAACCUGGGAAUUGCAUUGGAGACUGCAAGGCUAGAAUCUGGCAGAGGGGGGUAGAAUUCCACGUGUAGCAGUGAAAUGCGUAGAUAUGUGGAGGAACACCGAUGGCGAAGGCAGCCCCCUGGGUCAAGAUUGACGCUCAUGCACGAAAGCGUGGGGAGCAAACAGGAUUAGAUACCCUGGUAGUCCACGCCCUAAACGAUGUCUACUAGUUGUCGGGUCUUAAUUGACUUGGUAACGCAGCUAACGCGUGAAGUAGACCGCCUGGGGAGUACGGUCGCAAGAUUAAAACUCAAAGGAAUUGACGGGGACCCGCACAAGCGGUGGAUGAUGUGGGUUAAUUCGAUGCAACGCGAAAAACCUUACCUACCCUUGACAUGGCUGGAAUCCCUGAGAGAUUGGGGAGUGCUCGAAAGAGAACCAGUACACAGGUGCUGCAUGGCUGUCGUCAGCUCGUGUCGUGAGAUGUUGGGUUAAGCCCCGCAACGAGCGCAACCCUUGUCAUUAGUUGCUACGAAAGGGCACUCUAAUGAGACUGCCGGUGACAAACCGGAGGAAGGUGGGGAUGACGUCAAGUCCUCAUGGCCCUUAUGGGUAGGGCUUCACACGUCAUACAAUGGUACAUACAGAGCGCCGCCAACCCGCGAGGGGGAGCUAAUCGCAGAAAGUGUAUCGUAGUCCGGAUUGUAGUCUGCAACUUGACUGCAUGAAGUUGGAAUCGCUAGUAAUCGCGGAUCAGCAUGUCGCGGUGAAUACGUUCCCGGGUCU
rnacentral:rRNA from 1 species